rnacentral:lncRNA from 15 species
UAAGUUCAUAAGCAAUGUUUUCUUCUCUUUAUGGUAAAUAAUGCAGUUUAUAAUGAUAAAAAAACUUAAUCUCAUGUACUAUAUAUUUUAUAAAUAACAUGAACUAUGAAACAUAUUGUGAGAGGAGGUUGUCAUAAUAUUAUGCAGCUCCACACCAUAGCUACAGUAGCUUGUCUUUUGGAUUGGACCACGUUUGUCCUCCAAAAUCUCCACUGCCUAAUAUAUAUCAACCAAUGACAAGUGCCAUGAUAACCAGAUAAUCAGUUUUAUUCACUUCACCUGCCAGUGCUCAUAAUGUUAUGGCUGAUUGGUGUAUGUCACUGUUAUGGAGAUUUAAGUGUGAUUUUAUGUAUUGUACAAUAUUGCCUGAUAACAAUGUUUAUUGUCAGAUGUUAGAUCAGUUGCUUAUGAGUGAAUUUUACCACUUUUCUCCUCAGAGAAACCCUCUACAGAUGAACAACGCUCUGCACUGAUCCAGAAAGUUGCAACAAUAGCAGCUGUUAAACAACUGCUUUUGGAAACCCUGAAUGAUUUGAGUAAUGAGGAGCUUUUCAAGGAGUUCCUGAGGUUGAUUUUCUCCCAGAAAGACCUCCAAAUGGUUUUGAGACACACAGCAGGCAGAGCAGAAAUAGUGGAUCUGAUGGUGGAAACCUACGGCCAGCAGUCUGUGGAGUUAACCAGGGAGGUUUUCAUGGACAUGAACAGGACUGAUCUGGUUCAGAGGCUGUCAAAGCCCAGCUCAGGACUCAAAGAGAGACCCUCUGUGGAUAAACGUCAAACUGCACUGCAGGAGAGAGUGAGUCUGACUUUACACAUCACAGCUUUCAUCAUUCAAAAGAUGCAGGUUACACUGUGUAUAUAUAUAAACGUAUAUAUGUAUGUAUGUAUACACCGAUCAGCCAUAACAUUAUGACCACCAGGGUGUUCUGCAGCUGCCACUUGCUGCCUAAUAUAUCCCACCCACUGACAGGUGCCAUAACAACCAGAUAAU